AUUCCCCUGUGCGGGUUCCCCAGGACCUGCCAAGAGGUUGCCACCCAGGGCAGUGGGGUGGAGUAGGGGCCCCCCCAGGGCGGACGCGGAGAGCCUCCUGCUUUUCCCCUCUCUCGCACCUCUCCAGACCUGGAGGGAACCGGCAGGGACUUUGAAUUCAAUUCGAUCUAAAGCUACAAAAAUCCCCAUGUUUAACCCAAUCCUUUGUGGCUUUGGGUUUCUCAUCUCUAAUUGAGAAUAGCAGGGUUAGACUGGCAGGCUCACUCUGACUGUACCACACUCCUAAGGCUGUUAAAGUGCCAAGUGCGGCUCACCUGCCUCUCUAACUCGCGGGGCUUCCCACCCUGGGGCCCUUCUCUUUAAACCCCGACUGGCUUGUGUGAAGAUGUCUGGAAUGCACGGUGAAGACCUGUGUUGAACUUUGUGAAUGUCACCACGCCCAAUUAAAAAAAAAAAAAGUUGCCCGGUACAGAUAAUUAUCCAGUAAAGAUGCUCUACUGUGUCAUAACUAGGCAUCACAAAACCUAGACUUGGGGCUCUUAGAGUGUUUGCCUACCGAGGGAUAGGCAUGGAGUCCAAUGGCAACACAGAAAGAAUCAAAAUCUGGAUGGACCACAUUAGCUGAUAGAAUGUCUGCUUGCCCAGCAAGUAAAUCCCAAGCACUUCAUAACGGAGACCUGGUGGUUCACACCUGUAAUCUCAACAGCCAGAUGGUGAAACCAGGAAUAUUACAAGUUCAAGAUCAUCUUUGGCUACAUGGUAAACUCAAGGCCAUUCUGGGAAUACAUGAGAUUCAUCAUCAUUGUCGUCGUCGUCGCCAUCGUCAUCAUCAUCAUCUAGAUAAAUCUGGUAUCCAAACUCUCCCCACAGCCUAUGCGACAUCAAGCAGGAGGAAGCCUGGUUCACAGCAGACCCCGAGCGCUCUAUCAUAUCUAGCAUACUGUGACCAACCCCCAGCCUACCUUCACAUAGUCCCCAGCGGCCUCCAGCUCUGCAGCAGUCCUGGAAGAAGAAAAAAGAGAACUUCACCUUCAGGAACCUCUGGCCUGGACCAGAAGGAAGAGUGAACUUCCACUAGGAUCCUGAAGAAGUGGAGAAGGAGGCUGCCCCACCCCUCUGCCAGGCGUGGCCUUACCCUCUGUCCUGAGCUUCUUCCUUUGGGCCUUAGGGUCUGGUCAUAAGGCCCGAGAAGAGAUUCGCAGCUCUGACACCUGCUUCCCUCUCUCUGAGGCUUGGCUUCCUCAUCUUCUGAGGGGACAUCAUGUGUGCCUGGAAGGCCAUGAUGCUCAUGUGACCGUCAGUGCCGGGUCCCCUCACCCCAGUGGGUUCCAGAUCCUGGUGCCACUCUCCUGGGGUAUUAGACCUUUCCUUACACAGACCCUGUUUUUGUUUUGCUCAGUUUUGUUAUGUUUUCAAAAUAAACGUCUAGGCUUGUCUCAAA